rnacentral:rRNA from 1 species
GAGUUUGAUCCUGGCUCAGGAUGAACGCUAGCUACAGGCUUAACACAUGCAAGUCGAGGGGCAGCAUGGUCUUAGCUUGCUAAGGCCGAUGGCGACCGGCGCACGGGUGAGUAACACGUAUCCAACCUGCCGUCUACUCUUGGACAGCCUUCUGAAAGGAAGAUUAAUACAAGAUGGCAUCAUGAGUCCGCAUGUUCACAUGAUUAAAGGUAUUCCGGUAGACGAUGGGGAUGCGUUCCAUUAGAUAGUAGGCGGGGUAACGGCCCACCUAGUCUUCGAUGGAUAGGGGUUCUGAGAGGAAGGUCCCCCGCAUUGGAACUGAGACACGGUCCAAACUCCUACGGGAGGCAGCAGUGAGGAAUAUUGGUCAAUGGGCGAGAGCCUGAACCAGCCAAGUAGCGUGAAGGAUGACUGCCCUAUGGGUUGUAAACUUCUUUUAUAAAGGAAUAAAGUCGGGUAUGGAUACCCGUUUGCAUGUACUUUAUGAAUAAGGAU